rnacentral:rRNA from 1 species
GACGAACGCUGGCGGCGUGCUUAACACAUGCAAGUCGAACGGAAAGGCCCUGCUUUUGUGGGGUGCUCGAGUGGCGAACGGGUGAGUAACACGUGAGUAACCUGCCCUUGACUUUGGGAUAGCUUCAGGAAACUGGGGCUAAUACCGGAUAGGAGCUCCUGCUGCAUGGUGGGGGUUGGAAAGUUUCGGCGGUUGGGGAUGGACUCGCGGCUUAUCAGCUUGUUGGUGGGGUAGUGGCUUACCAAGGCUUUGACGGGUAGCCGGCCUGAGAGGGUGACCGGCCACAUUGGGACUGAGAUACGGCACAGACUCCUACGGGAGGCAGCAGUGGGGAAUAUUGCACAAUGGGCGGAAGCCUGAUGCAGCAACGCCGCGUGCGGGAUGACGGCCUUCGGGUUGUAAACCGCUUUCGCCUGUGACGAAGCGUGAGUGACGGUAAUGGGUAAAGAAGCACCGGCUAACUACGUG